rnacentral:rRNA from 1 species
GGGUAGUUUGACUGGGGCGGUCUCCUCCUAAAGAGUAACGGAGGAGCACGAAGGUUGGCUAAUCCUGGUCGGACAUCAGGAGGUUAGUGCAAUGGCAUAAGCCAGCUUGACUGCGAGCGUGACGGCGCGAGCAGGUGCGAAAGCAGGUCAUAGUGAUCCGGUGGUUCUGAAUGGAAGGGCCAUCGCUCAACGGAUAAAAGGUACUCCGGGGAUAACAGGCUGAUACCGCCCAAGAGUUCAUAUCGACGGCGGUGUUUGGCACCUCGAUGUCGGCUCAUCACAUCCUGGGGCUGAAGUAGGUCCCAAGGGUAUGGCUGUUCGCCAUUUAAAGUGGUACGCGAGCUGGGUUUAGAACGUCGUGAGACAGUUCGGUCCCUAUCUGCCGUGGGCGCUGGAAGAUUGAGGGGGGCUGCUCCUAGUACGAGAGGACCGGAGUGGACGCAUCACUGGUGUUCGGGUUGUCAUGCCAAUGGCAC